AACGUAGGAGGCAAGCGUUAUCCGGAUUUACUGGGCGUAAAGGGCGUGCAGGUGGCUGUGUAAGUGGUGCGUGAAAGCGCUCGGCUCAACCGGGCGAGGGCGUGCCAAACUGCACAACUAGAAACAGACAGAGGCAAGUGGAAUUCGGGGUGUAGUGGUGAAAUGCGUAGAGAUCCCGAGGAACUCCUGUGGCGAAGGCGACUUGCUGGGUCUGGUUUGACACUCAGACGCGAAAGCAUGGGGAGCGAACGGG
rnacentral:rRNA from 1 species